CUGAAAAGUAAAAGCAAUCUAUCUACUUCAUCCGGGCGCUGCCUAACCCCAGAAGCUCGUGGCUAUGGCGAUGGGAACCGCUGGAGACAUGGAAUCGAGUUCUUGUCUGAUCCCGUCGACAGAUUUCCCCUCCCGGAUCUCGCCGGGGAAGAGCCGUUUGCAGCGGACGAGGCAAACAAAGAUCUUAUAUGUGCACCUCCUGAGUCCAGCAUUGGCGGUGCCGGAGACGCCGCACUAACCGUACACCUAGAUCUGAAGAGCACUUGUGAUGGGAAUGCCAUCUCAGUUCCAAGCUCCGAGCAAUCUACAGGCAAAGACAAACCUGAAGCCCCUGCCUGGACAAACAGAAUCCGUGUGGGGCGCGCACCUAAUGAACGCCCCCCAUGUGCUGCCAGAAUGAGUGCCUUGGAAAUGACAUUGCGAAGAUAUGCAGAAAAGAAAACUGACACAGUCAUAGUUCCUGUAGUGGGUAGCAACUUUGAUUCACUUGGAGAAGCUUAUGACUACUACAAUCUCUACUCCUGGGAUAUUGGAUUUGGAGUAUGAUAUGGAAAGAGCAGGCUAAAUGUCGAAAGAACAAAAUGCAUGCAGGACAUAGUUUGUGGCUGCUCAGGGAUCCCGAAGAAGAGUAACAUACGAACAUGUCGAUGCAGAUGCCCCGCAAUGAUACGGUUGCUCCGAUCGAACGACAAUGGCUGGUAUAUAAACGAAUACAGACCGGGUAACAAUCAUGCACUCACUGAUAUGCUCUGGGAGAAAAAAUACCUUCAUAAUCUGGUAGAAUUUUAUUUCCAACCAAUACUUGUGAUUUGUGUAUCUGGCUCGCAACCUGUCCAUGUUCCGAAAUUGCCAAGAUGGGCCAACAAUAACAAUUGAUUCAAACUAAAAAUGUUGACUGACUACACAGUUGCCGGAGAGAUGAAUGUUUCUACUAGCACAAGGUUGCUACCAAAAUCAAGGUGCCGCUAUGGUCGGAGCUGCUUCAAUUCAUGCAGUGACGCCCACCGAAGGUGGCGCACAGCCAAACAUUUGUACUAACGGACCUCCGCCAGCAAAUGAACAUGCCACUGCUGUUGUAGCCGUUUCUAUUCACAGAAAACCCAAACGGAGGUGCUGCUGCUACAAGCACGCUGCUUUCUCCGUACACAUGCAUACCAAGAACUGAAGAGGCUGCUGCUGCAGCUGCGUGUGCUAUUGUUGCAGAAGCAACCGCGGGUGCUGGUCCUAGCACGUGGCAGAACAAGCAAAACAUGUGUAAACCAUCAGCACCAAAGACAGAGCCAGACAUUGUGAUCGCAAGAUUUGUGAAGAUACUGAUAGAUGAACCUUCUCCUUCGCAUGUAGACAGCUGCUACAACAGGAUGAUAAACUCCAGCCCAACUGAACUUGACAGGAAAUGGUUUUCAAUAAGCGAGCCUUAUCACCUGGAAAUGACCGGACAUGCUGUCACAAAGAACUAUGGACCAGGGCAAUCACUGAAAAACAACGGCAUGUCAGCUGCUCUUCUGAGCCUCGAUGCAAAGGAUGGCAUGAUAUACUGAAACAGAACUCCUCGCUGGAGGAAAAUAAUAGACCCCUAUUUUGCGGAUGAAUUCACAUACGAGCCCGAGCAUCCUAACAUAGACCGAUUCUUCUGCAUGUUCAAUGCAAGCAAACUCCCCUACAACCUGGAAGAAUGCAAAAAGGUUUUGGAUCCCAAGUGGACAUUUUUUCUUGAGGGGCACCGGAAUUUGCGGUUACCAUGGUAACGCGAAAUACCGGAAAAAAUUCGGAAGGAAUUUGAAAUUAAAUUUUGAAUUCAAUUUUUUUUCAGGUCAAUAUAGAUAGGUGUUUAACUUCAAAAGAUAUCACCUACUUGCUCCUGGCGUAGUGGCUGUUUAAGCCGAACUGCACCUUGCUAAAAGGUCGCGAGUUCGACACCUGUCAUUCCAAGUAUUUUGAAACAAGGGAAUAGCUAAAUAUUUGUGUACUUUGCACUAAUAUUGAUUGGCCCUUGCGCCAUGUAAUCGACUAGUAUGCUACCAUGUAAUCAACUGCUAUGUUAUCGUCUGAAUGACUUU